AGAAUAUGUCACUUUGAGACCAGGACUCAGGAAACAUAUUCACAAUAUGGAAGUCAAUCUUUGCUAUGGAUGAUUGCACUCAGAGUCAGGCACAACUGGAGACUUGCAGCUAGACAGCCAGGUUGAGAGAACAAAACCCCCUUUGACAUAAGCAGACCCUGAUGAGAAGCAGAACAUGAGAAGAAGCACUAUGAAGUCAAGCCAAUGCUUGCCAUGAUGGCUUUAGUUUCAGUGAAAUAAAAGUCCACUUGUUUACUAGGAUGACCAAAAAAACAUGGAAAACCUGAAUUAUAUUGUCUUAACG
rnacentral:lncRNA from 12 species